rnacentral:tRNA from 11 species
GGUGUGACCUUGUGGUUAGGAUGCCAGGCUUAUGACGUGGUGGUCGUGGGUUCAAGCCC